AGGACAUGAGCUUACAUGAAUGAAAUAUAGUCGGGACAAUUAAUAUAAAUAGCCGUUUGAUUAUUAUUAAUUCAUAAAGUAAAUAGUCAACGUCCCGAUAGCUUCUGGAUAAAUUGUAGCAAAGGCUUUACUCAACUACUAUACGAGAUGUUUAACAUGAAGAUAUUUUUGUUGGCACUUUUGGUAGUGGCUUUGUUUGCUGCCGAAACCUUUGCAUGCAUUCAAUCCAACGGCUGGUGCGGCAGCGAUUCGUCUUGCUGCUCCGGUAAAUGUUUAAUAGAUUUUAUGGGGACUCACUCAUGUAAAUAAGCUAUUUUUUAAAAAUGAAUUAGUUGAAAUUAUGUGACAAUCACUAUUUGGCAACGAGUAGUCACUAUUUUCACUAUUUCAAACCGGUACUGAAAAAUGUAGUCUGAGUAUAGAAAUAUCUUUUGCUUACUGAAAAUUUCAAAAUUGUAUUUGAAGAUAAAAAAUAAAAAUAUUCCACGGCCUAACGCAUUUGCAUUACAA